rnacentral:rRNA from 1 species
CGGUGCGGCGNGACAUACACAUGCAAGUCGAACGAGAAAGUGGAGCAAUCCAUGAGUAAAGUGGCUACCGGGUGACCAUCACGUGACUAACCUACCCUUGAGUGGGGAAUAACCUCGGGAAACCGGGGCUAAUACCGCAUAACAUCGCGAGGUGGGAAUCCUUGUGAUCAAAGCAGCAAUGGGCUUAAGGAGGGGGUCGCGGCUGAUUAGCUAGUUGGUGGGGUAACGGCCCACCAAGGCGAUGAUCAGUAUCCGGCCUGAGAGGGCGCACGGACACACUGGAACUGAAACACGGUCCAGACUCCUACGGGAGGCAGCAGUGGGGAAUUUUGCGCAAUGGGGGAAACCCUGACGCAGCAACGCCGCGUGGAGGAUGAAGGUCUUUGGAUUGUAAACUCCUUUCGAUCGGGACGAUUAUGACGGUACCGGAAGAAGAAGCACCGGCUAACUCUGUGCCAGCAGCCGCGGUAAUACAGAGGGUGCAAGCGUUGUUCGGAAUUAUUGGGCGUAAAGGGCGCGUAGGCGGUCCGGCAAGUCUCUAGUGAAAUCUCUGGGCUCAACCCAGAGCCUGCUGGGGAAACUGCCGGGCUGGAGUAUGGGAGAGGUGAGUGGAAUUCCUGGUGUAGCGGUGAAAUGCGUAAAUAUCAGGAGGAACACCUGGGGCGAAAGGGGGUCACUGGACCAUCACUGACGCUUGAGCGCGAAAGCUAGGGGAACAAACCGGGAUUAAAUAACCCGGGUAGCCCUAGCCCUAAAACAAGAAUGCUUUGGGGGGAUCGGGACCCAAACCCAUCGUGGCCGAAACUAACGCGAAUAGACAUCCCCCCCGGGGGAGCCCGGUUCCCAAGGCCUGAACUUCAAAGGAAUAAUGCCCGGGGGCCCCUCCACAAGCCGAGUGGAAGCAUGGUAGGUAUCUAAUUCCAACACCUAAACCCCGAAAAAAAAACCAUUUCACUCGGGGUGCCCUCUAAAAAUGUGUUUAGGAGAACACACCGAGGAAGAUGGAUACAACUACCUUAUCUACUCC